rnacentral:rRNA from 1 species
GACGAACCGUGCGAACGUUGUUCGGAAUCACUGGGCUUAAAGGGCGCGUAGGCGGGUGGUCAAGUCAGGGGUGAAAUCUUUCAGCUCAACUGGAAAACAGCUUCUGAUACUGGCCGUCUUGAGGGGGGUAGGGGCAUGUGGAACUUCCGGUGGAGCGGUGAAAUGCGUAGAUAUCGGAAGGAACGCCGGUGGCGAAAGCGCUCUGCUAGGCCGCAACUGACACUCAUGGACGAAAGCUAGGGGAGCGAAUGGG